rnacentral:rRNA from 1 species
UGAGCGGAGAUAUAUGGAGCUUGCUUUAUAUAACUUAGCAGCGAACGGGUGAGUAACACGUAGAUAAUCUAUCCUAUACUGGGGGAUAGCCCGAUGAAAGUUGGAUUAAUACCGCAUAUAGCUAUAUAGUUGCAUGAUUAUGUAGUGAAAGAUUUAUUGGUAUAGGAGGAGUCUGCGGCACAUUAGCUAGUAGGUGAGGUAAAGGCUUACCUAGGCGACGAUGUGUAGCCGGCCUGAGAGGAUGAACGGCCACAAUGGAACUGAGACACGGUCCAUACUCCUACGGGAGACAGCAGUGGGGAAUAUUGCACAAUGGGGGAAACCCUGAUGCAGCAACGCCGCGUGAGUGAAGAAGGUUUUCGGAUUGUAAAGCUCUGUUAGCAGGGAAGAGGAAGGACGGUACCUGCAGAGGAAGCCACGGCUAACUACGUGCCAGCAGCCGCGGUAAUACGUAGGUGGCAAGCGUUGUUCGGAAUAACUGGGCGUAAAGGAUGCGUAGGCGGUUAAACAAGUUAUAUGUUAAAUAUAUAGGCUUAACCUGUAGAAAGCAUAUAAAACUGUUUAACUAGAGUGCAGGAGAGGUAGUGGAAUUCCUAGUGUAGCGGUGAAAUGCGUAGAGAUUAGGAAGAACACCAGUGGCGAAGGCGACUUACUGGACUGUAACUGACGCUGAGGCAUGAGAGCAUGGGGAGCAAACAGGAUUAGAUACCCUGGUAGUCCAUGCUGUAAACGAUGGGUACUAGGUGUGGGUUGUGAAUAACAAUUCGUGCCGUCGCAAACGCAAUAAGUACCCCGCCUGAGGAGUACGAUCGC